UAAUUUUCUGUGAUGCAUUUACUUGUUUGGUGCUUGGGGAUGUUUGAGGCAGAUUUGUGUCCGCCGUUUUGAGGCCAGCUUGCUGGUACCCAAACGGUGUUAGCAUUUUUUGUCUUGAACAUUUGAGUAUGGCUUACGGGCAUUUAUUGGUUCGAUCUGAGUGUAAGUUACGGUCGCAUGCGACACGUGCUUUCCAAUUAGUUCGGUCCAGUUAAUGCUCUCGUACUCGUUCCCCAUGUAAAAGCCGGUCAUCUAUCCGACCCGUCUUGAAACACGGACCAAGGAGUUUAUCGUGUGCGCAAGUUUUUGGGUGUUAAAAACCUAAAGGCGAAAUGAAAGUAAAUGGCUCUUUAGAGUCUGAUGUGCGAUCUAGUAAAAAAGUGCAGCAUGGCCCCAUUCUAACUGUUUACAGUAGGGUGGAGGAAGAGCGUACGCGGUGAGACCCGAAA
rnacentral:rRNA from 1 species